rnacentral:lncRNA from 1 species
AUUUUGGGUUAUAAACCCCAAACUUCCUCCCUUCCCAGGUUCCCAUGGGUCAUUUGGGAUUUUGGGGGGUUUUGGGGGGAUUUUGGGUUAUAAAACCCCAAAACCUCCUCCCCUCCCGGGUUCCCAUUGGCCAAUAGCAAUUUUGGGAUUUUGGGGGGAAUUUUGGGUUUUUUUGGGGGUGACACCUCCUGUCCCAUCCCCUCACAAGGUUCCCAUUGGCCAAUAGCGAUUUUGGGAUUUUGGGGGGAUUUUGGGUUUUUUUGGGGGGUGACACCUCCUGUCCCAUCCCUUCCCAGGUUCCCAUUGGCCAAUAGCGAUUUUGGGAUUUUGGGGGGAUUUUGGGUUAUAAACCCCAAACUUCCUCCCUUCCCAGGUUCCCAUUGGUCAGUAGCGAUUUUGGGAUUUUGGGGGGGAUUUUGGGGGGGAUUUUGGGGGGCUUAUUUUGGGUUAUAAAACCCCAAAACCUCCACCCUUCCCAGGUUCCCAUUGGCCAAUUGGGAUUUUGGGGGG